rnacentral:misc_RNA from 1 species
GCAAACUUGGUCAUUUAGAGGAAGUAAAAGUCGUAACAAGGUUUCCGUAGGUGAACCUGCGGAAGGAUCAUUAACAAUUAUCCAUUUACAUAUGGAUGGUUAAAAUCCAUAUCCACCCUUCGUGUGCACAUCAUCGACAUGUUUACUUUGGCAGUUUUGCGGGAAGAGAGAGAGAAGAGAAGAGGGGAGGGGGUUUUUUUUUUUCCUUCUUCCUCUUUCUUUUUUCUUUUUACCGACACUGCCAGAGUUUUUUUUCCAUCUUUUUCACCUUGACAAACUUUUGCUUCCAGAGGAAGCAAGCCUUGAAGAGAAACAAAUUCAGACUUUUUUUCUUGGUUUUUUCCAAAAGAAAGAAAGAAAAUGAAAUCGAAUACAACUUUCAACAACGGAUCUCUUGGCUCUCGCAUCGAUGAAGAACGCAGC